GUUGGCAGCGUGCGGUGCUUCAGACUUCAGCCACUUGAAGCUCCUAACCAUCUUAUAGGAAUGGUACCACGUCCCUAUAAGGGUGGGCGGAGAGAGCACCAUCCAUAUGACUAGGGAGUACGGCCCACCAGAUGCAUCCCAACUACUUUGCCCCACUUGGUUACAGGCCCACGUGACUGGACCCGGCGAUAGGACUGUAUAAAGUAAUCAAUAUAAACAUAUUAAAAAAGCUAUAACAAGUCGAUGUGGGAUUUUUUCUUCCUUAAACCAAACCAAAUCAAAAGUUGUUCUUCUCAGUUAGUGUAAAAAUGAUGCUAUCCGACUCUCCACUCCUCAUCUCACUGCACAACAGAGUCAGAGAGACCAAAAACCUCUUUUUCCCUCUCGACCAAGGAACCCAAUCACCGGCGGCGGCGCAGUUGCUUCGUCCUCUAAGACCGUGUAUGUCGUUUUAGUAUUUUUUUUUUCCUUUCUUUCUUUCUUUCUUUCUAUGUCUAUCUCUUCGUGCCUUAUGUAUGAAUUUUUGUUAUUGCUCGGUAUUAGUUCUCAUAGGGCUUGAUUUUCUUCCUUCACGCUGGGUUUAUCAUACAAUACAAGUUUAGAAUUAAUUUUUUUUGGCUUCGUGUUUCUUUUAACUCGUUGCAUUCCAUUUUUUAGGAUUUAAAUCUGUAUAACAUUUUCUGUAUCGUAAAAUAGCAUAAAAUGCCUGAAGGUUUCCACUUAGAACGCCCUCUGUUCGCCGGUGCCUUAACUAGCACCUUCCCUCAAAGGUUCCAGGUAUUUUUUUUUUCUUUUUAUUUAUUUAUUUUAUUUUAAUUUUAUCUCACAAAAAAAGUAAUAUUCGAGAAGUUCCAGAUCAUCAGGUGAGGACUGAGGAGCUAUGCUUCUUUCUAGUUUUCACUUCGUUUCUUUGAAUACCCAAUUUUUCAUUUUAAGCUUCUGGGCAUUAAAGAUUUGUUUUUUUCUUUCACUUAUGUUGUUUAUUUAUGCAUUAUUGAUUGUUUUUUCUUAAUUAUUUUGUGGGUUUAAAUGAGGUGUUUGUGGAUCCUUCCCGGGAUGAAAGUUUGAUCUUUGAGAUAUUAGAAUUGAAGGAAGAAGUUGGUGAUGAUGGAAGUGCUUCAUGGUUUUCUUCAAGACCUUGCCUCUGAACAAGAAUCUGAAGGCUGCGUGGUGAUUGAACAGUCAGCAGUGACUUAGGGCCCCUGGACUGUGCUAUAGGAGCACACCUGCUGUCAUUAUAACUGCAGUAGGCCAAAUGGCUAUCUCUAAGGGACGGCAAGGUAGGGAAGCACAAAAUGUUGUGAGGGUAAGUUAUUUCUCUUCUUUUUUAAAUCUAGUUUAGGAUUUUCUUUCCACCAGCUAAUAACGGUUUAGUGUUUCUGUGCUCUAUUAAUAUUUUAUUGUUAUCUUGUGGGUAUAUGUUGCAAAUGUUCGUCUUAAAGAAGUUAACACGGAUAUCCUAAUUUCUGCAUAUGAGCCGAUUCAUAUAAAGUAAGUACUAGGAGUUUGUGUUCUGCUGCAACAAGUUCUCGGUUUUUUGCUUUUCUUUAUGAGAGUACAAAUCAUUGAUUAAAUGCUAUCACCUAUACUUGAAUAAAUAACACCUAAAAGAAGAGCAUCUACACAUGAAUAUACUUACAACAUUCAGUCAAUUUAUGCAUAUUAGUUGCAAGUGUAAAAUUAAUGCAUCUUUUUCUUCCAAAUGUUAAGAUGUUGAAUUUCAAGGAUACAAAUUUAUUUCCUCUCAACAUAAAUUUUCCUGCCAGCAGUGCUUUAGUAAUGUAAAGAGGCAGAGCAUAAUCUUCCUCCUCUGCACCCUCCUUGUGUUAGAUUCUCAGAUUGUGGUUCAGUUCCCAAAUGUUUGAACAGAAAUAGAUGGUAACAACACUGUUUUGUGUUGUGUUAAUAUUUCCGACACCCUCACACUUUCCUUAUUGUUUUCAGUCCAUUGAGUGAAAGUGCUACCGCCGUCGGGGCUGGUGCUGCCACUCCUGCUGAGCUUUCUGGAUGUGUGCCAAUGCUUGAGGUCUUCAAACUUGCUGUCUCAACGUUUAAAGUCAACAACUGGGGCCUUUUUGGAAGUGUAUAGAUGAGUCAUAGGGCCAUGUAUAGAUUAUACAUGAAUAGGGUGGUUGUUUUGGAUUUAAUGAUUAUUUUUUGUUCAGAAAGAUUGUUGCCAGUCACCAAACUUAGUUUCUGUUGUCAUCUUCCAUUUUCUUUGAAUGUUGAACUGAAUGGCUUCUUGGUUUGGUGACUUUGGUCUCAGUCGUUUUUGUAGAGUCUGGAUUGUUAAAAUUACUUUCGGGUCGUCUUCCUCUCAUGCCCUCUCUGCACUGGAGAUGUUACUGUUUGUGUGCAGUUUUACACAAUAAAAAUAAACCCCUAGGGCUUUGUAAAUGA